rnacentral:rRNA from 1 species
GACAGAGGGUGCAAACGUUGUUCGGAUUUACUGGGCGUAAAGCGCGUGUAGGCGGUUGCCCAAGUCGGGUGUGAAAGCCUUGAGCUCAACUCAAGAAAUGCACUCGGUACUGGGUGACUAGAGGACCGGAGAGGAUAGUGGAAUUCCCAGUGUAGUGGUGAAAUACGUAGAGAUUGGGAAGAACACCAGUGGCGAAGGCGGCUAUCUGGACGGUUUCUGACGCUAAGACGCGAAAGCGUGGGGAGCAAACAGG